GUAGUAGUGCAAAAUACAACCUCCUAGAAGAGUUGCUGUGGAAUAUUCGAGUUCUCAAUAAUUAUCUUAAUUAAAAGUGCUAUUUAUAUUAGAUUUUGUUACAUAACCAACUCUUUAGUCGCCUUCUAUAAUGAAAUUAUAGCACACAAUUUGGUGAUAGUUUUUAAAUCAUAUACUCGCUUACACGAAUGCGGCUUAUACUUGGUUGGUUUCUUGAAUGCAGGUGCUGACUAAAACAGGCUUCUAUUUGUUUGAUUAUCUCAAAAGGCUUCUUAAUAAUCAGAGACGAGGCAGAUCAGAUUCGAUCAACAAUAGAAAUGGAUGACAUUGAAUCAAACAACUACGUGCAAAAUAAAAAGGUCAAAUUACACAUACAAGGUGCAUAUUACAGGGCAAGAGGUAGCGAAGGCUGUGUUUUGGUUUUGUUAUGUUGUAAUUCUAUACUCUAAAUUUGAAUGUAGAUUAUGAAAGAUGAAGUUUGAAUGGUAUUAGUACUUCACAUUUCAUUCAUUUUGAUUGAAAAAAAAAUCUAAUUUUGUGA